rnacentral:tRNA from 1 species
AGGAUUUGAGAAAUACGACCAGCUGAUUUGUAAUCAGCCGGUCGCAGGUUCGAGUCCCGUCACCA